rnacentral:rRNA from 1 species
UACAGAGGGGGCAAGCGUUAUUCGGAAUUAUUGGGCGUAAAGGGCGCGUAGGCGGCUUUUCAAGUGACGGGUGAAAUCCCUCGGCUUAACCGAGGAACUGCCUGUCAGACUGGAAGGCUUGAGACCGGGAGAGGUGAGUGGAAUUCCCAGUGUAGCGGUGAAAUGCGUAGAUAUUGGGAGGAACACCAGUGGCGAAGGCGGGCACCUGGGCUAACACUGACGCUGAGGCGCGAAAGCUAGGGGAGCAACAGG